UUUUCAUUUUUAUAGUUGCAUCUUUGUAGGGUUCUCUUUUCAGAACCUGCAACACAACUGAUAUCACACCAAAGAUUGUCAAACCAUUCCUGGAUACUUUCCUCUGUUGCAGAUGUUAAAAAGCUUCACAUCUAAGGCAUUGACAAUUUCCAGCUUGCACAGCAUUAGUUCUGUCACCUAUGGAGCCAGAACUUGAUCAGUGCAGUAUCUCAUGAUCUGAAACUUGAUCUGGCUUCAACAAUCGUUUAGCGCUGUCAUAACUCCGGUUGUACUUUACCUGGGUAGUAUAAGUCAACCAAUUGUAGUAUCAAGCUAUUGGUUGACUUAUACUACACACAUAAAAUUACAAUAAAAAACCGAGCCAUCUAAAUCAGCCAGCAAAAUUUUGGUGCAAUCUUUGAAAUUGGUCUGAAGAAAAAAAUACUGCAAUUGAUUGGCUUAUACUACAUAGAUCGUGGAACAAGCCAUUAUUCCAGAGAAAACAACAGUUGUGGCUCAGUUUCUUCAUUUCAACAGCAGGAACAAGAUAAUCUUUCAUCAUAUCUGUCUACCUAUGUGUAAGAUAUCUGCCCGCAUUUCAUUUCUUAUCAACUGAAACUAGCUUGCUUAACUGAAAUUUGAUAGGAUUAGGCCUUACUGUUGUGUACGUUUGUAAAGCCACAUAAUUAUUUAGCAUAUUGAUUAAGCCCUACUACCUUCCUGUCUUUCAUAAGUUUUCAUUAAAUGGUCUUAUUACUCUCCAUCAUUACCAGAUUACAUAAGCAUCACUGAAUUUUCAUAGGAUUAAGCCUAACUGCCUUAUUAUACAUCUUUCAUAAGUUUUCAUUAAAUGGUGUUAUCACUGUGAUCAUUAGCAGACUGCAUAAAAGAAGUCCAUCAUACUUGCCAAAUAAAUUUUUGAUAUAGAUCAGUAGCAUGUAGAAAAGAGUGGUAGUUCUAAUGGAAAGUUGGCUACCUUAGAUUUAAUUGAUUGACAUUAGAAACUAUGAGUAAAUGUAAAUUUUCAGAAAUUCAUGGUUUCCAUUAUAAACCAAAUACACAUCAUCAGCUUGGAUCCUGAAGAACCAAAAACAAACCACCUCAAAAUUUUGUGUGUUGCUUUCAUAAAAGGUGCGCUUUCUGCUCCAUUGAAUUUGCUUUAAUCUUCCUUUUUUUUUUCUUAACAUUUGAAUUAAAACCAAAACUGAAAACCCAUAUUUGAGCUUUGACAAUAGUUUCA